CCCCGAAAUUUGCCUAUUAUAACUUUUCCUCCGGAACCGACGGGGAGGUAGGGACGGAGCGCGAGCCAGUCCUUGCGUGGCCUGCAACGCACCUUUCUCCGCGCCGCCCCGCUGUGUCUCAGGAGUGCACCUGUGUGUGCUAAGCUGCAUCCGUACACUGAGGUCAGGUGUGAGGACAGAGAGGUGACCGCUGGCGGGACCACCUUGGAGAUGAGCCUGCCCCCCCCACUGCCCGAGAGACCAGCCGCCCCGGGAGGAAGGAAGCAGGAAGGAAAAUGCCCGGAUUCUUCAGAAGUUCGCUGCCUUACACGGGAGAGACAUCCUGGAAAGCAAACGCUGUGGGACACAAAUGAGCAGACGCGUGGACGAGCAGACGACAAAAGCAGGAGCGACAGCCAGGCUGAAGUACUCGAAACAAACUCCAGGGACAGGACACAACCAAGCCUGACUGUCCAACCUCCUGAAUGUGAGGCACGACCAGAGGAGGGGAGGCCAUCCUGGCCCGGAAAUGACCUCAUGGCCAAACGUGGCCCACAGACUUUUUGCGGGGCCUGCGGUGUUCCAGGCACCUGUUUUAACAGUUCCCAAAUCCCGUCGGGGCCCCCCACACUGCGGGGCCCUGCUGCCCACUUGACGGGCAGUCAAGCCACAGAAGCACCCGCCUCUCCUGGCCCUUGGGCCAGUGACCGGGGACAAAGAGAGGCUAAGAGCCAGAAGUGACAGGUGCGCGUCCUCAGAGCCAGGGGGACCCCAGCUCCUGGCCCGUACUAAAUCGCUUAACCCUCCCAAUAACCCCCUGAAGCAGGACUGCUCUUCGUUCUCAGACCGGGAAACUGAGUCAAGGAAACGCGAAGCCACCUGCCCAGGGGGACGCAGCCUCCAGGGGGGCAGGCCCACUCCACACUCCGGCAGCGCCAGAGACGCUGCAGCGUCUCUGACAACUUGGUCUCACCCAACUAGGUUGCCCACCUCACACCUCUUUUUCUUUUUUUUCUGUUUUUGGUCUUUUUAGGGC
rnacentral:lncRNA from 1 species